rnacentral:rRNA from 1 species
CAGUAGCCGCGGUAAUACGUAGGUGGCAAGCGUUGUCCGGAAUUAUUGGGCGUAAAGGGCUCGCAGGCGGUUUCUUAAGUCUGAUGUGAAAGCCCCCGGCUCAACCGGGGAGGGUCAUUGGAAACUGGGAAACUUGAGUGCAGAAGAGGAGAGUGGAAUUCCACGUGUAGCGGUGAAAUGCGUAGAGAUGUGGAGGAACACCAGUGGCGGAGGCGACUCUCUGGUCUGUAACUGACGCUGAGGAGCGAAAGCGUGGGGAGCGAACAGGAUUAGAUACCCCCGUAGUCCCUGUCUCUUAUAC